rnacentral:piRNA from 1 species
AGGGUCAGACAUUAUUUGAGAGCACAGUCA